rnacentral:tRNA from 2 species
UGCCCGGUGGUGUAAUGGUAACACUACGGAUUUUGGUUCCGUCAUUCCAGGUUCGAGUCCUGGCCGGGUAG